rfam:Picea glauca, whole genome shotgun sequence.
GCUGAUGAUGAUAGAAGGCCAACAAAUGGAGUUGUAGAUGGGUCCAAGUCCUUGAUAUUCAAGGAGAACCUACUUGGAAUUACCUCUGCAUUUCAAUGGCAAUACUGGCCUUUCACUGAGGC